GACGUAGGGGGCGAGCGUUGUCCGGAAUUACUGGGCGUAAAGAGCACGUAGGCGGGACUUUAAGUCAGGUGUGAAAGACCGGGGCUCAACCCCGGGGUUGCACUUGAAACUGGAGUUCUUGAGGGCAGGAGAGGAAAGCAGAAUUCCUGGUGUAGCGGUGAAAUGCGUAGAAAUCAGGAGGAAUACCAGUGGCGAAGGCGGCUCUCUGGACUGUCCCUGACGCUGAGGUGCGAAAGCGUGGGUAGCAAACAGG
rnacentral:rRNA from 1 species